AGUGAACGCUGGCGGUAGGCCUAACACAUGCAAGUCGAACGGCAGCACAGUAAGAGCCUGCUCUUACGGGUGGCGAGUGGCGGACGGGUGAGGAAUACAUCGGAAUCUACUUUUUCGUGGGGGAUAACGUAGGGAAACUUACGCUAAUACCGCAUACGACCUACGGGUGAAAGCAGGGGAUCUUCGGACCUUGCGCGAUUGAAUGAGCCGAUGUCGGAUUAGCUAGUUGGCGGGGUAAAGGCCCACCAAGGCGACGAUCCGUAGCUGGUCUGAGAGGAUGAUCAGCCACACUGGAACUGAGACACGGUCCAGACUCCUACGGGAGGCAGCAGUGGGGAAUAUCGGACAAUGGGCGCAAGCCUGAUCCAGCCAUACCGCGUGGGUGAAGAAGGCCUUCGGGUUGUAAAGCCCUUUUGUUGGGAAAGAAAAGCAGCAGGUUAAUACCCCGCUGUUCUGACGGUACCCAAAGAAUAAGCACCGGCUAACUUCGUG
rnacentral:rRNA from 1 species